GCUCUCGUAGCUCAGUUGGUUAGAGCACCCGUUUAGCAAGCGGGAGGUCCUGAUUUGACUCUCAACGAGAGCA
rfam:Beta vulgaris subsp. vulgaris Bvchr8.sca018.con0289.1, whole genome shotgun sequence.